GUCAGAGUGGUGUAGUGGUUUCAGUGAUGAAUUAGGACUCCAGGAGACCAGGGUUCAAAUCUCUGCUCAGCCU